UUUUUUGCUUCAUCCGUAUAUUUAAGCACUUAAUUUUUAAUAUUGUCUUCUAAUAGUGGAACUCAUGAAAUAGGAACUAAACAUUCUUCUGUUUAUGCAUUUCAGAAAUAUUUUCCCUGGAGGCAUGCCCCGUAUCUCCUCCACAUCUACAGAAUGCCAUGCUGGGUGAUUUGAAGAAGAAAGUACUGAGUGCAGAUUACAACACUUUUAAGACAUUAUAAGAUUACCAAUUCAAAGCCAUAUUUUCUUUUAUUUCUAAACUUCAGACACAUUUUGGGGGUACUUUUCUCUUAGAAAAUGAAAUUUACUGAGGGUUACAGUUUAAUCUGUUAAUUCAGUGAAUUUGGUAAAAUAUUCCACAAUGACGGAAUCAGAUUUCCUUCCUAAAAGGUAAUUUGGAAUGUAAGAAGCAAAAGAAAAAAAGAUUAAUAUAGUGGGGCCUAAAUUGUGCUGUUGGAAUUUGUUGUUAAAUGUAAUUUGCAUGCUGAUUAGUAUCUAGAAUGACUUACCCGCUUCUUCCCCUGCUUUCUUUGGACAAUCUGCUUAUAUAGAUAUUGAGACACAGCUAGUCAUGAAGUGCCACAACAGACCAAUAUAAAACCAACAGAGAAAUAUUAAGUGUUAAGCAUAUAAGAUUCAAAAUAUUAAGCCCUAGACAUUUAA
rnacentral:lncRNA from 1 species